rnacentral:tRNA from 1 species
GGGCCUGUAGUUCAGUGGUAGAACACUACAUUCGCAUUGUAGAAACGGCGGUUCGAAUCCGCCCAGGUCCA